rnacentral:ncRNA from 1 species
UAAGUGGCGUUGAUGAGGAGAAGUAAGGUCAUAUUAUUCUUUAUAGAGAGCUUCGGUUGGUGAAAAGAAGCAGAAUGAUGACUUGAAGGAUGGCCUCGGAGCUUCGUUCCGAAAAGAUUAUCUUAGUAGGCUGCGACGAGAAGCGGUGCUCGUUACCAACACCGAUCGUGUUUUUGCACGAAUAGAGGUUGCGUUUUCGUAACGAAUUAAGGUGGUACCACGUGUGUGUUCACAACACUACGUCCUUAUC